rnacentral:tRNA from 1 species
GGGGUUGUGCCUCAAGUGGUAGAGUGCUCACCUAGCACAUGUGAGGCACUGGGAUCGAUCCUCAGCACCCCA